rnacentral:rRNA from 1 species
UACAGAGGGUGCAAGCGUUGUUCGGAAUUACUGGGCGUAAAGCGCGUGUAGGUGGCGAUGUAAGUCGGGUGUGAAAUCCCUCAGCUUAACUGAGGAAGUGCACUCGAUACUGUGUCGCUUGAGUGUUGGAGGGGAUGGCGGAAUUCCCGGUGUAGCGGUGAAAUGCGUAGAUAUCUGGAGGAACACCGGUGGCGAAGGCGGCGUCCUGGACCAACACUGACACUGAUGAGCGAAAGCCAGGGGAGCAAACGGG